CCUACGGGUGGCAGCAGUGGGGAAUAUUGGACAAUGGGGGGAACCCUGAUCCAGCCAUGCCGCGUGUGUGAAGAAGGCCCUCGGGUUGUAAAGCACUUUCAGUGAGGAAGAACGCCUGGUGGUUAAUACCCAUCAGGAAAGACAUCACUCACAGAAGAAGCACCGGCUAACUCCGUGCCACCAGCCGCGGUAAUACGGAGGGUGCGAGCGUUAAUCGGAAUUACUGGGCGUAAAGCGCGCGUAGGUGGCUUGAUAAGCCGGUUGUGAAAGCCCCGGGCUCAACCUGGGAACGGCAUCCGGAACUGUCAAGCUAGAGUGCAGGAGAGGAAGGUAGAAUUCCCGGUGUAGCGGUGAAAUGCGUAGAGAUCGGGAGGAAUACCAGUGGCGAAGGCGGCCUUCUGGACUGACACUGACACUGAGGUGCGAAAGCGUGGGUAGCAAACAGGAUUAGAUACCCUAGUAGUC
rnacentral:rRNA from 1 species